rnacentral:rRNA from 1 species
AAUAGAUACCCAGGUAGUCCACGCCGUAAACGUUGGGCGCUAGGUGUGGGGUCCGUUCCACGGGUUCCGUGCCGCAGCUAACGCAUUAAGCGCCCCGCCUGGGGAGUACGGCCGCAAGGCUAAAACUCAAAGGAAUUGACGGGGGCCCGCACAAGCGGCGGAGCAUGCGGAUUAAUUCGAUGCAACGCGAAGAACCUUACCAAGGCUUGACAUGGGCGGUAAUCCGGUAGAGAUGUCGGGUCCGUAAGGGCCGUUCACAGGUGGUGCAUGGUUGUCGUCAGCUCGUGUCGUGAGAUGCUGGGUUAAGUCCCGCAACGAGCGCAACCCUUGUUCCAUGUUGCCAGCACUUCGGGUGGGGACUCAUGGGAGACUGCCGGGGUCAACUCGGAGGAAGGUGGGGAUGACGUCAAAUCAUCAUGCCCCUUAUGUCUUGGGCUUCACGCAUGCUACAAUGGCCAGUCAAAGGGCUGCGAGACCGUGAGGUGGAGCGAAUCCCAAAAAGCUGGUCUCAGUUCGGAUCGGGGUCUGCAACUCGACCCCGUG